rnacentral:rRNA from 1 species
CGGUAAUACGUAGGCUGCAAGCGUUGUUCGGAGUUACUGGGCGUAAAGGGUGCGUAAGCGGUUCUUUAAGUUUGGUGUGAAAUCUCCCGGCUCAACUGGGAGGGUGCGCCGAAUACUGAGGGACUAGAGUGUGGGAGAGGAAAGUGGAAUUCCUGGUGUAGCGGUGAAAUGCAUAUAUAUCAGGAGGAACACCGGUGGUGUAAACGGCUUUCUGGACCAUAACUGACGCUGAGGCACGAAAGCGUGGGUAGCAAACAGGAUUAGAUACCCUGGUAGUCCACGCCCUAAACGAUGCAUAUUUGGUGUGGGUCAUUCAAUUGAUCCGUGCCGGAGCUAACGCGUUAAAUAUGCCGCCUGGGGAGUACAGUCGCAAGGCUGAAACUCAAAGGAAUUGAC